rnacentral:tRNA from 2 species
GGGCGCUUAGCUCAGCUGGUAGAGCACGUGCUUGACGUGCACGGGGUCGGGGAUUCGAGUUCCUCAGCGCCCACCA